rnacentral:lncRNA from 1 species
GCCGGCCAAGGGACUCUAGCAUGGGAAAUUCGGCUAGGUAUUGUAGUAGUGGGAAUUUCGGCAUUUGGGGUGUGUUGUGCCAAAAUUCUGAUCAUCUUCUCUUCUCCUCUUUUCUUUAUUUCUUUUUCUCCAUCUACCUUCUCCUCUUCCUUCUCCAUAGCUGAACCCUUCUAUCUCUUUACUCUUCAUCACAUCCUUAAUCUUUUUAUUUUUAGCCUUAUAAGCCGAACAUCAUAAAAAGCCGAAAUCCCGAAAACUUAUUCUUUUUGUGCUAAUUUCUUAUAACCGAAACCACAUCUGUUCCCUUCAUCAUUUGUGGCCGAUUCACAAGCCCUCUAAAACCUUAAUUUUUGACGACAAGACCAUAGCAAAACCCUCUCGUUUUACCUUUCUAAACACAAGUUGCAAAAAAGUCAAAAAACCCUACAUUAAAAGGGACUUGGCCGAAUACUGAUGUCAUUGAAAUAUCGACUUUUGUUAUCAUCUGAGGGCUUAGAUCUACAUCGAGAUCGAGUGGGAAACUCGUUGGAAUCAGUCACUAAGGAAUCGGUGGUAAGUCUUCGCCAAAACUUAAUCUUCUUACAUAUUUUAGGAAAAGUCGAAAUCUCUAAAAGUUAAGGAGGUUGUCGAUUUGGACUUGUAACCCUGAAGGGUCGUAAUAACUAUUUUUUUUGGUAAUAGCGUGAUUUAGAGGCGGUUGAUCAAGAGCUUGGACAGGUGGAACGAUCAGAUCUUUGGAGUUAACCAUCUUUCGGCAGUAAGGUAAGAGCAAUAAGGGUUUUUGGCAUGUUUGGCCAAAUGUGGUAAGGGACUAGAUACUCAAUUGUAUUUUUGAUAUUUGGAGUAAUAGUAAGUGAUUCAAUUGUAGGCAGUUUGGGUGUAGAUCUCGAUGUGGAAAUCCCGAAAAUAGGUGUGUAACUGACACCCUUUCAUAGGCUAGAUCGGAAAAAGCCGAAAAGCCGAAAUACAAAAAAAUUGGUACUUUGGGCGCUUGCGAGUGUGCGAAUGCUCGUGAGAUGUAUGGGUAAUUAUUACUGGUAAUCAUAAGUGAUAAAACUGCAGUACGCGUGAUUUCGUGUGUUAUGAUAUUUUGGGCUUAAUGGGCCAAAUCUGGGUUAAUGGGCCAACGGGCCCAAUUCGGUAAGAACGCUCAGUAAGUGUUCUGGCUAAACGUAAUAGCUACGAUAUGCAUGAAAACCUUAGAAAUAGUUAGAUUUACUAGAAUACCCCUAUGUAUGUAAAAUUACCAUUAUACCCCUAUGUGUGCAAAAUGACCUUUAUACCCCCUAGGGUUAAUUUUGUCUGAAAAGCUUGUUGAUUUAAAUCUGUAUGAUGUAUGCCAUGAAUGAAUAUUUGUUGCAUGGGGACAUGGGUUAUAUUUUGGAGGAAGCGUCCUGGUGGCUAUACCACAAUUAUCUGAUCUGGUGGCUCUGCCACAUAUAUCUGUUCUGGUGGUUCUGCCACGAUUAUCUGUAUCUGGUGACUCUGUCACAUUAUCUGUUCUGGCAGCCAUGCUGCAUAAUUCUGUGGCGUGUAGCGGUUGGGUGGGUCGAGUAGUCUCCCCACAUGGUGAAAGGUUGGUAAAGGGGUGUAUGUGGUUGGUUAUUGGUUGGGUUCUGCAUAUACAUGAAAUAUCUGAUCUGAUCUGUUAUGGGCCUAUGGGCUUAAUUCUGUAUUCUGUUCUAGGCUAAGGCCAAUUUAUUCUGUCACUGUGGUUUGAACUGAUUUAGGCUAUGGUUGGGUUGGAUUACACACUGAGUUUCCCAAAACUCACCCCUUAUUUUCACCCUCGCAGGUAAUCCUCAACCAUAGUGGGCUUGGAGCUAUGAGGGAUUUGGACUGGCCACAUGUUUCUACAAACCUGGUUUCUUUCUGGUGAACUGGACGUCCUUUUAAUUUCAUUUAUGGUUUUGGGUUUUAAGUGUAAUAAGGCCUUUUAAUUAUUUUUUUAUGGAUUUGUUUUACUUUUAUUAUUUUAUUUUAUUAUGAUGAAAAAAACUAUGAUAACUAAGGAAAAUGGAUUAGCUUUAGGACGCGUUUUCAAAAACAUCAAGGGAUUUCAAAAUAACACGAUUACAAGUAAGACUUCCGCUAAGCAAACGUUUUCAAACUUAAUCCUUUUCUUAAGAUAGACACAACCAGAUGGUUUUCUCAAAAUUAUAAGAGUCGUUAAGGUGUGGCAAUGUUGGUGUGCAUGUCUAGGAUUGGAACCGAAGGGAGCUUGGUACUUAAGCAGUUCGACGGACUCACCUCCUCUUCUUCCUGGUUUCUUACCUGGUGCACAGCUUCUGUUCACUUUAACCUGCUUUAGAAAGUAUCUUUUACAACCCCAACUAAGUUUUCCAAACUAAGUAAUACGGAACAUUUUGAACGCAUCAAUGUGGCGCACCGGAUCCGGUCAUAUCGUCUAGGCCGGGUUUGGGGUGUUACAUUUAGUGGUAUCAGAGCCAAGUUGCAACAACUCGGCUGUGGAUUAGGUUUACAAAAAUGAAGAUUUUAAAAAAAAAUUAGUUUUUAAAUCUGGACUUCUAAAGGUAGCAUUCCGAAUCUCCAGCCCAAGCCUGUAAGUAUUCUGAAUUUUUCUGAAUAUAUUCUGAAUUAUCUGUCUGUACUAAAACUUUACUAGAAUACUCUAGACAGGAUGCUACUGAAACCCUAGAAAAGCUUGCUAAAAGACUGAAACUGUAGUUAGACGUCGAUUCUACGAAAACCAUCUCUGAAUUACUAUUUGAAUCAUAAAAAAUCUGUAAUAAUCACUGGAAUGCUAAAAUUAAUGCAUAAAAUUCGUAAUCAGAUUAUACGAUAUGAGUACGCGAGCAGCUCGAGGUAGAGGCCGUGGACGAGGCCGAGGAAGAGCUCGAGCGGGAUCUUCGUCUUCAGGACAUAUGCCAGCGGCAGAAGCACCGGUACCUUCGGAAACGGAAUUGGAAUCUCAUGAUCAUGGUGCCAAGGAUGACGCCCUGUCGCAGGCAAUGCUUUGAGUUCUGGAAAGGGUUACCGGGGCAAGUUCGAGCAAUGGAAUUCGAGGGUCGAUUUCUGAAUGACUCCGGGCUAAUGGAGUGGAGAUCUUUAGGGGCGUAUCUGGUGUAGCCCCGAAUGUGGCGGAAUAUUGGUUGGAGGCCAUGGAACGAAUUAUGGAUGACUUGGACUGUUCUGUGGAGUAGAAGCUGAAGGGGGCUGUAUCGUUGCUGCGAGAUGAGGCUUAUCAGUGGUGGCUCACCGUGAGGGAUGGAACCCCAGCUGAUAGGGUUACUUGGGAGCUGUUUAAGAUAGCCUUUAAAGGAAAGUACGUCAGGGCAAGUUAUGUGGACGCCCGUAGGAAAGAAUUCCUGAAUCUGGUCCAAGGAGGCAAAACUGUCGCUGAGUACGAGGCUGAAUUUCUGAGGCUGAGUAGGUAUGCUGUGGGAAUAGUUGCUACGGAGUAUGAGCGUAGCGUUCGCUUUGAGGAUGGACUCAGAGAUGACCUUAAGGUGCUAAUUGCUCCACAGAGGGAGCGUGGCUUCGCGGUUCUGGUGGAAAAAGCUAAGAUUGCCAAAAGGGCGAGAGUGGAGGAGCCAGUUCGAUCCGUUCCGAUGAAUGUGGUUAGACCGCCAAUCUGUGGGGAUUGUGGAAGGUACACCCGGGUGAGUGUAGGAAACGUUCUGGUGCUUGUUUUCGAUGCGGAUCUAUGGAGCAUAGGGUUAAAGACUGUCCACAGAGAGCUGAUCAGGCUCAGGUUGCUGUACAGAGGGUUGUUCAACCCAUGAGAGGUGGACCACAACCACUGAGAGGACGUGGACAAGGUAGGGGCGGAAAUGGGAAUGGAAAUGGUCAAGGUCGAGGGGCGCCUGGUAGGGGAGCCGAAAAUGCUGAGGCUCGGCAGCCAGCAUUGGUGUAUGUAGCUCGUCGUCGAGAGGAGGGCGACGCACCUGAUGUCAUAACUGGUAUGUUUUUAGUUUCUAAUAUGCCGUAUACUGCCUUGGUGGAUAUUGGAUCUACUCAUUCUUAUGUUGCGUGUGCCAUAUCUGGGUCUUUGGGAGUGCAUUCUGAGGAGAUAGUGAGUGGGGUAUCUGUGUUAAGUCCUUUGGGUCACUCGGUUAGGGUAGACAAGCUGUAUAAGGAUGUACCCUUAGAAACUCAAGGUAGGAUCUUUCCUGGUGAUCUAAUGGAGUUGUCGUUUGGAGAAUUUGACAUCAUUCUGGGAAUGGACUGGCUUGUUAAGCAUAAGGCGACUCUGGACUGUGCUGCUAAGCGGAUGGUGCUAAGGACCACGGAAGGGGAUGAGGUUAUGGUAAUAGGUGAGCGAAGGGACUAUUUGUCUAAAGUGAUAUCGGCAUUGAGGGCUGAAAAGUGGAUUCGGAAAGGGUGUGAGGCCUAUUUGGCAUUUGUAAGUCAAACAAAUGUAGAGGGGCUGACAGUGGAUAAGGUUAGAACUGUAAAAGAGUUCCAAGAUGUCUUUCUGGAGGAGCUUCCGGGAUUGCCUCCAAAUUGGGAAGUCAAAUUUGGAAUCGACCUGUUGCCUGGGACAGCACCAGUGUCCACUGCACCAUAUAGGAUGGCACCGAAGGAGUUAGUGGAGUUAAAGGCGCAAAUUCAAGAAUUGUUGGAUAGGGGCUUUAUUAGGCCAAGUGUGUCUCCAUGGGAAGCAGCGGUGCUAUUCGUGAAGAAGAAGGAUGGGACGAUGCGCAUGUGCAUUGAUUAUCGCCAGUUGAACAAAUUGACGAUUAAGAAUAAGUACCCUCUGCCAAGGAUUGACGAUCUGUUCGACCAGCUUAAAGGAGCUUCUGUAUUUUCCAAGAUCGAUCUUCGAUCUGGAUAUCAUCAGUUAAGGGUCAAGGAGGAAAAUAUUCAUAAGACAGCAUUCAGGACUCGUUAUGGUCAUUAUGAGUUUCUGGUUAUGCCAUUUGGACUAACAAACGCUCCUGCAGCGUUUUUGGAUCUGAUGAAUCAUGUGUUCCAACCAUUUCUAGAUCGGUUCGUGGUCGUCUUUAUUGACGAUAUUCUGGUAUAUUCUGAGACCGAAGCAAAACAUGAUGAGCAUCUCCGCACUGUGUUACAAGUGUUAAGGGAGAAAGAACUUUAUGCGAAGUUCAGCAAGUGUGAGUUCUGGUUGAGGGAGGUAACCUUUUUGGGGCAUGUGGUCUCUGCAGAGGGGAUUAGAGUGGAUCCUCGAAAGAUUGAAACAAUUUUGGAAUGGAAGCCAUCUAGGUCGGUUUCAGAAAUUCGAAGUUUCAUAGGAUUGGCAGGUUACUACAGAAGGUUUGUGGAAGGUUUUUCUGUGAUGGCAGCACUCUCACAAAACUUAUAAGGAAAGGAGUACCGUUUGUUUGGACGGAGAAGCAGCAAGAAGUUUUUGAGAGGUUGAAGAAAGUUCUGACUGAAGCACCUGUGUUAAUUCAACCAGAGUCUGGAAAAGAUUUUACUGUGUAUAGUGAUGCAUCACACCUAGGUUUGGGUUGUGUGUUGAUGCAAGAGGGUAAGGUAGUUGCUUAUGCAUCUCGACAACUUAAGCCUCACGAAGGGAACUAUCCUACUCAUGAUUUGGAGUUAGUAGCAGUGAUCUUUGCGCUUAAAAUUUGGAGACACUACUUGUAUGGGGAAAGGUGUAUUAUAUACAUAGAUCAUAAGAGUCUCAAGUAUUUGCUGACUUAGAAGGAACUGAACCUUAGGCAAAGGAGAUGGAUCGAGUUGCUUAAGGAUUAUGAUUGUUCAAUCGAAUAUCACCCAGGCAAGGCUAAUAUGGUGGCCGAUGCUCUAAGUCGUAGAGCUGUAUCUGAUCUGAGAGCAAUGUUUGCUCGUCUAAGUCUGUUUGACGAUAGAAGUCUGUUGGCUGAAUUGCAAGUAAGGCCAACCUAGGUGGAUCAGAUUAAAGAGAAGCAGUUGAAGGGUGAGUCUUUGGUCCCUCGUUUUCAACAAGUUAAGGAAGGGGGAACUUCUGAGUUUGGGAUAAAUGAUGGUGGGGUUCUGUGUUUUCGAGGAAGAAUUGGUGUUCCGAAGGACUCUGACUUAAGACAGUCAAUUUUGAAGGAAGCUCAUGGGGGACUUUGUGCUAUGCAUCCUGGAGGGAAUAAGUUGUACCAUGACUUGCGAGAACUGUAUUGGUGGCCUGGACUUAAGCGAGAGGUAACUGAAUUUGUGGGGAAAUGUCUGACAUGCCAGCAGGUGAAAGCUGAGCAUCAGUUACCUUCUGGAUUAUUGCAGCAAGUAAAAAUACCACUUUGGAAGUGGGAGAGGGUAACCAUGGACUUUGUAAGUGGGCUACCCUUGUCACCAUCGAAGAAAGACUCGAUAUGGGUGAUUGUGGAUAGGUUGACCAAGUCGGCUCAUUUUAUACCUGUUCGCACAGACUUUUCUCUUCAGAAGUUAGCCAAGUUGUAUGUGGCGGAGAUUGUGUGACUGCAUGGAGUUCCGGUUUCGAUUAUCUCUGAUCAGGAUCCUAGAUUCACAUCUCAAUUUUGGCAAAAGUUGCAUGAGGCGUUGGGAACGCGAUUGAACUUUAGUACGGGUUUCCAUCCCCAAACUGAUGGUCAGUCGGAAAGAGUUAUUCAGAUUCUGGAAGACAUGUUGAGGGGAUGUGUUAUUGAUUUCCGAGGUAGUUGGGAGGAUUACUUGCCUUUGGCAGAGUUUGCAUACAACAAUAGUUAUCAGUCGAGUAUUCGAAUGGCACCUUAUGAAGCACUGUAUGGGCGAAGGUGUCGAACACCUAGUUGUUGGACUGUACUGGGGAAGCGACAAGUUCUUGGACCUGAGUUGGUGGCAGAUACUGAGGAUAAGGUCAAGUUAAUUAGAGAUCGGUUAAAGGAAGCGUCUGACAGGCAAAAGUCAUAUGCAGAUCUGAAGCGUAAGGAGAUUGAAUACUCAGUGGGCGAUAUGGUCUUCUUGAAGGUUUCACCUUGGAAGAAGAUACUAAGGUUUGGCAAGAAGGGCAAGUUGAGUCCGCGGUUCAUUGGGACUUAUCGGGUUUUGAAGCGAGUAGGCCCAGUGGCUUAUCAGUUGGAAUUGCCUCCAAAGCUAGACAGCAUUCACGAUGUUUUUCACGUCUCCAUGUUAAGGCGUUAUUGUUCUGACCCUACUCAUGUCGUGCCGGUUGCAGAAAUUGAGGUGCGAACUGAUUUGACCUUUGAGGAGGAGCCUGUACAAAUAUUGGAUCGAGACGUUAAGGUUCUUAGGAGGAAAUCAGUACCAUUAGUGAAAGUGCUUUGGCGUAACCAUGGCAGAAAAGAAGCUACUUGGGAGCCAGAGGAGGCAAUGCAACAACAAUACCCUCAUCUGUUCGGAUCAAGUAAAUUUCGAGGACAAAAUUUCUUUAAGGAGGGUAGAGUUGUAACGCCCCAAUUUUUGGGAAUUCUGUAAAAGUUGUAAAAUUUAAAAUUCUGUGUUCUGUUUGUUAUGUGUAGGAUUAAUCAUGUUGGUGGGCCUCUAGAAGGCCCAAGCUUAGGAUAAAACCUGGUAGUUUAAUUAAAUUUAAUUUUAUAAGAGAAAGGGGUUCUGAUAAAUUGGGCUUUUAGGAAUUAUUUGUGAAAAAUGGAUCACAAGGAAGCAAGUGGUAAAGUGGCAUGUGACGUCACUGGGAAGGAUGUAGUGGCGUGUGGAAGCUUGGGGAGGACCCAGGUUCAAGUCACAAUGACAGUAAAUUAAGUGAUUAAUUUUUAUGUACAGGAAAGGGAAGUAAUGGAACUGAAAUAAAAGUCUGUCAGGAAGAGUUUAAGAAGGUAAGGGGAUUGAAUAAGGAUAAAGAUAAGGGAGGAAAUCUAGGAGCUGAUCAAGGAGCAAGAGGUGGCCGGCCAAGGGACUCUAGCAUGGGAAAUUCGGCUAGGUAUUGUAGUAGUGGGAAUUUCGGCAUAUGGGGUGUGUUGUGCCGAAAUUCUGAUCAUCUUUUCUUCUCCUCUUUUCUUUAUUUCUUUUUCUCCAUCUACCUUCUCCUCUUCCUUCUCCAUAGCUGAACCCUUCUAUCUCUUUACUCUUCAUCACAUCCUUAAUCUUUUUAUUUUUAGCCUUAUAAGCCGA